CAGUCGCCGCGGUAAAACGUAGGGGGCAAGCGUUAUCCGGAAUUACUGGGUGUAAAGGGAGCGUAGACGGUUAAACAAGUCUGAAGUGAAAUGCCGGGGCUCAACCCCGGAGCUGCUUUGGGAACUGUAGAACUGGAGUGUCGGAGGGGUAAGCGGAAUUCCCAGUGUAGCGGUGAAAUGCGUAGAUAUUGGGAGGAACACCGGCGGCGAAGGCGGCUUACUGGACGACAACUGACGUUGAGGCUCGAAGGCGUGGGUAGCAAACAAGAUUAGAUACCCCAGUAGUCCCUGUCUCUUAUAC
rnacentral:rRNA from 1 species